rnacentral:rRNA from 1 species
UACGGUGAGGGCAAGCGUUAUCCGGAUUUAUUGGGUUUAAAGGGUCCGUAGGCGGAUCUGUAAGUCAGUGGUGAAAUCUCAUAGCUUAACUAUGAAACUGCCAUUGAUACUGCAGGUCUUGAGUAAGGUAGAAGUAGCUGGAAUAAGUAGUGUAGCGGUGAAAUGCAUAGAUAUUACUUAGAACACCAAUUGCGAAGGCAGGUUACUAUGUCUUAACUGACGCUGAUGGACGAAAAGCGUGGGGGAGCGAACAGG